rnacentral:rRNA from 1 species
UACGUAGGUGGCAAGCGUUGUCCGGAGUUAUUGGGCGUAAAGCGCGCGCAGGCGGUGCGGUAAGUCUCUGGUGAAAGCGCUCGGCUUAACUGGGCGAGGGCCGGGGAGACUGCCACGCUGGAGGGGAGCAGAGGCGAGUGGAAUUCCGGGUGUAGUGGUGAACUGCGUAGAUAUCAGGAGGAACACCUGUGGUGUAGACAGCUUACUGGACCACUUCUGACGCUGAGACACGAAAGCGUGGGUAGCAAACAGG